UUCUAUUAUAUAAAAUUCUAUGAAAGUCCUAUUAAUUUCUUUAUAAUCUUCAUACAUUUCCCAAUAUAUCCUCUAUUUAAUUAUGCACUUAACUAAUAUGAUUUUUUGUAAAGUUAUGAAACAAACAUAAAAACAACAUUAGCAGUGGUUGUACUUAAACUUGAGAAGGUGUUUUUGUUCUUUGCUGUUAGAAGAGAGUAAGAUAAGAAUACAUAAGAAAUUUAAUAGUUUUUGCAAGGUUCCAAUUACAGAGUAAUAAUAAGUUUCCAUUUUAGUGUUAAGGGAUUCAUAAGCGAAGCACGAUUUUUUUUCAAAGCAGCUCAAAAGUAUCAAAAUAUCGCAUUGUAUCGGGAACCAGUGAUUUAGCUGAAGGUAAUAAAGCAAAACUUGGUGUUGGAACUUCCCAAUCAGUUCAUAAAGUCUAUGAUGCCUACGUACAUGAAGCCUUUUCUGCUCAAAC